AUUGAACGCUGGCGGCAGGCCUAACACAUGCAAGUCGAGCGAGCGGCGGACGGGUGAGUAAUGUCUGGGAAUCUGCCUGAUAGAGGGGGAUAACUACUGGAAACGGUAGCUAAUACCGCAUACCAUCAGAUGUGCCCAGAUGGGAUUAGCUAGUAGGUGGGGUAAUGGCUCACCUAGGCGACGAUCCCUAGCUGGUCUGAGAGGAUGACCAGCCACACUGGAACUGAGACACGGUCCAGACUCCGACGGGAGGCAGCAGUGGGGAAGAUUGCACAAUGGGCGCAAGCCUGAUGCAGCCAUGCCGCGUGUGUGAAGAAGGCCUUAGGGUUGUAAAGUACUUGCAGUGGGGAGGCGUUACCGGCAGAAGAAGCACCGGCUAAAUCCGUGCCAGCAGCCGCGGUAAUAC
rnacentral:rRNA from 1 species